AAUACCGGCCUGUCACGCCGGGGGUCGCGGGUUCGAGUCCCGUCCGCUCCGCCA
rnacentral:tRNA from 3 species